CCCUUAGAUGUUCUGGGCCGCACGCGCGCUACAAUGAUGAAUUCAACGAGUUUAUAACCUUGGUUGAAAAGCCUGGGUAAUCUUUUGAACUUUCGUCGUGAUGGGGCUAGACCCUUGCAAUUAUUGGUCUCCAACGAGGAAUUCCUAGUAAACGCAAGUCAUCAGCUUGCAUUGAUUACGUCCCUGCCCUUUGUACACACCGCCCGUCGCACCUACCGAUUGAAUGGUCCGGUGAAAUCUUCGGAUUGAGACUUUGAUUUCUUCACGGAAAACGCUGUUUUAAAAAGUUGAUUAAACCUCAUCAUUUAGAGGAAGGUGAAGUCGUAACA
rnacentral:rRNA from 1 species